AGGAUUAACGCUGGCGGCGUGCCUAACACAUGCAAGUCGAACGAGGUAGCAAUACCUAGUGGCAGACGGGUGAGUAACACGUGGUCAACCUACCUUCGAGUGGGGGAUAACUAGCCGAAAGGUUAGCUAAUACCGCAUGAAACGUACUGGGGCAUCCCGGAACGUUAAAAGGAGCAAUCCGCUUGAAGACGGGACCGCGUCCGAUUAGCUAGUUGGUGGGGUAAUGGCCUACCAAGGCUCCGAUCGGUAGCUGGUUUGAGAGAGCGACCAGCCACACUGGGACUGAGAAACGGCCCAGACUCCUACGGGAGGCAGCAGUGAGGAAUUUUCCGCAAUGGGCGAAAGCCUGACGGAGCGACGCCGCGUGUGGGAAGAAGGCCUUCGGGUCGUAAACCACUGUCGAAGGGACUAUACUGAAGGUACCCUUGGAGGAAGCCCCGGCUAACUACGCGCCAGCAGCCGC
rnacentral:rRNA from 1 species